UACGAAGGGGGCUAGCGUUGUUCGGAAUUACUGGGCGUAAAGCGUGCGUAGGCGGCUUUCUAAGUCGGGGGUGAAAUCCUGGAGCUCAACUCCAGAACUGCCUUCGAUACUGGAGAGCUUGAGUCCGGGAGAGGUGAGUGGAACUGCGAGUGUAGAGGUGAAAUUCGUAGAUAUUCGCAAGAACACCAGUGGCGAAGGCGGCUCACUGGCCCGGUACUGACGCUGAGGUGCGAAAGCGUGGGGAGCAAACAGG
rnacentral:rRNA from 1 species